UCUCUGAUAGUAUAUCGGUUAGUACACGCGCCUGUCAUGACCCAAACACGAUGAUAUACAUGUUUGCGCGCGAAAGCUGGGUUCGACUCCCAGUCAGAGAG